AGAACGAACGCUGUUCGCGUGCCUAAGACAAGCAAGUCGAGCGAGAAAAGGGGGGCAACUCCCUGAGUACUUCCGCGCACGGGUGAGUAACACGUGGGUAAUCUGCCCUGAAGUGGGGAAUAACACCGGGAAACCGGUGCUAAUACCGCAUAUGAUCACGGUGUCUGCGGACACAGAGAUGAAAGGAGCAAUUCGCUUCAGGAGGAGCCCGCGGCUGAUUAGCUAGUUGGUGAGGUAAUGGCUCACCAAGGCAACGAUCAGUAUCCGGUCUGAGAGGACG
rnacentral:rRNA from 1 species